GGGGUGGGGGGGCAGGGAGCGUCUGUUUGGCUAAACCUUGAUUUGAAAAAUACCACUUAUAAUUUUAGAAUUGUGUUUUGAAGAUCCUUAGUCAUUUGUAGUAUGGAUCCACUGGAACUGCGCUCCUGUGAGAACGUAGGGGAGUAAAGGCAGCAUCGGGCUUUUCCACGCGGCAUGUAAAACAGCACAGGAAGACGGACGCUCUCACCUCUGCCAGACCCCUUCAAAGCCAGGCUCACCUUGUGCCACCCUUAGCAGGGAUCAGCUUCUGUGAAAUGUGACAAGACCCCUGCGGUCACCCCCUGUGCGCUGGGGGAGGGCACGUUUCCCGCCAGUCUUCCCGAUGCUGAGGUCUUUGUGGGAUUCUUCCAUGAAACGUUCGGGAAAACGUCAGGCAGUGUUAUACAGGAAGGACGAUGCCGCUGAGCUGACAGAACUGCAGUAGCCACCGCACAUCCCAGUCUGCACCAAAUGGACUGCACCCUAACGACAGGCAGAUCACUGUGAGCAUAUCACGGCUAUCAAACAACAUUCCAGGACUGAAGCAAAGCGUUCUGAGUAGUGCAGGACACAUGGCAAUUGUGGGACUUAACCUGAGGUUUCCCAUCUCACCAGGCUGUAAGGACUCUGCUGUAGAUGACGUUGUGGUUCCCAGCUGUCAGGUCCCUCUCUGCUGAGAAGACUACACAGCAGCAUCUUCCACCAGCGCCUUGCAGGACCUCCGCUCAGCGGAAUAUUCCUCCCCUCCUAGCGUCGGCUGGAUGCGGCAAAACACCGAAAAGCUGCUCAGCACCAUUAGUCUCAGGGAAAGGAAAACUAACUCAUAACAACACACCUUUCACACCCACUAACUGGAUACAGUGAAGACGACGGACAAGGCACAAUGUUGGGAGGACAUGGAGUACGUGGAGCUGUCACACACUUCUGGGAGGAGCACAGCAGCCAUGCUGCUGAAGGGUUCGGCAAUUGCUUUGGAAAGUUAGCGUGCACCCUGCCUUCCAGACACCAAUUCCAUUCCUAGAUGUCGACCCAGGAGAAAUGAACGCACGUCUGCAAAAAGACUUGUACAGAAUAUUCAAAGUAAAUUUACUCUAAAUGGUCAAAAACUUGAAAUGCAAAUUUCAUCAACAAGAGAAUGACUAACCUCGUUGAGAGACAUUCAUACAAUUCAUACAAUACUACUCAGUCAUUAAAGGAAACAGGAUGCUGAUACCUGCGGCAGCAUGCACAGGUCGCACAGCCAUAUGCUGGACAGAAGAUGACAGACAGAAAAAACUUCAUA